rnacentral:rRNA from 1 species
AUGCAAGUCGAACGAGAGAUGAGGAGCUUGCUCUUCAAAUCGAGUGGCGAACGGGUGAGUAACGCGUGAGGAACCUGCCUCAAAGAGGGGGACAACAGUUGGAAACGACUGCUAAUACCGCAUAAGCCCACGGCUCGGCAUCGAGCAGGGGGAAAAGGAGCAAUCCGCUUUGAGAUGGCCUCGCGUCCGAUUAGCUAGUUGGUGAGGUAAUGGCCCACCAAGGCGACGAUCGGUAGCCGGACUGAGAGGUUGAACGGCCACAUUGGGACUGAGACACGGCCCAGACUCCUACGGGAGGCAGCAGUGGGGAAUAUUGCACAAUGGGGGAAACCCUGAUGCAGCGACGCCGCGUGGAGGAAGAAGGUCUUCGGAUUGUAAACUCCUGUUGUUGAGGAAGAUAAUGACGGUACUCAACAAGGAAGUGACGGCUAACUACGUGCCAGCAGCCGCGGUAAAACGUAGGUCACAAGCGUUGUCCGGAAUUACUGGGUGUAAAGGGAGCGCAGGCGGGAGAACAAGUUGGAAGUGAAAUCCAUGGGCUCAACCCAUGAACUGCUUUCAAAACUGUUUUUCUUGAGUAGUGCAGAGGUAGGCGGAAUUCCCGGUGUAGCGGUGGAAUGCGUAGAUAUCGGGAGGAACACCAGUGGCGAAGGCGGCCUACUGGGCACCAACUGACGCUGAGGCUCGAAAGUGUGGGUAGCAAACAGGAUUAGAUACCCUGGUAGUCCACACCGUAAACGAUGAUUACUAGGUGUUGGAGGAUUGACCCCUUCAGUGCCGCAGUUAACACAAUAAGUAAUCCACCUGGGGAGUACGACCGCAAGGUUGAAACUCAAAGGAAUUGACGGGGG